GUAAAUUUCUAAAUAAAAUUAGUUCCCCCCAAAAUUAUAUUAAUUGAAUAUUUAUUUACAGUGUGUGUAUAUAAUGAAUGCAGUGUGUGUGUAUAUAAUGCAGUGUGUUUGUAUGAAUGCAGUGUGUGUAUGAAUGCAGUGUGUGUGUGUGUAUGAAUGCAGUAUGUGUGUGUGUGUAUGUGUAUGUGUGUGUGUGUGUGUGUAUGAGUGCCGUGUGUGUGUAUGAAUGCAGUGUGUGUUUGUAUGAAUGCAGUGUGUGUGUGUGUAUGAAUGCAGUGUGUGUAUGAAUGCAGUGUGUGUGUAUGAAUGCAGUGUGUGUGUGUG